GAUGAACGCUGGCGGCGUGCCUAAUACAUGCAAGUCGAGCGAACAGACGAGGAGCUUGCUCCUCUGACGUUAGCGGCGGACGGGUGAGUAACACGUGGAUAACCUACCUAUAAGACUGGGAUAACUUCGGGAAACCGGAGCUAAUACCGGAUAAUAUAUUGAACCGCAUGGUUCAAUAGUGAAAGACGGUUUUGCUGUCACUUAUAGAUGGAUCCGCGCCGCAUUAGCUAGUUGGUAAGGUAACGGCUUACCAAGGCGACGAUGCGUAGACGACCUGAGAGGGUGGUCGGCCACACUAGAACUGAGACACGGUCCAGACUACUACGGGAGGCAGCAGUAGGGAAUCUGCGGCAAUGGGCGAAAGCCUGACGGAGCAGCGCCGCGUGAGUGAUAAAGGUCUUCGGAUCGUAAAACUCUGUUAUUAGUGAAGAACCAAUGUGUAAGUAACUAUGCACGUCGUGACGGUACCUAGUCAGAAAGCCACGGCUAACUACGUG
rnacentral:rRNA from 1 species